UGCUCCUAUUUCUUUUCAGAGGCGCCGGAAUAUCGAUAAUUGGGAGGGCAGAUAUUCAUAUAUUCGUGGUCUGCCCAAUUAAUUUCUUUUGAAAUCGAUUAUUUUUACAGUCUGUGAACACGAAUAUAUGAAUAUCUGCCCCCGCUAUUAUCGAUAUUCCGGCGCCUCUGUUUCUUUUCCACUACUCUUUAAGUACCAUGUUGAUAAUAGAGACCCUAAGGUAACCUGAGUAUCAGGCUCCUGGCGAAUGAAAACAUAAGGGCCUGAUACUCAGGUUAACCCUAAGGUUGACCGCUAAGCGCAAGCGGCAAACUUAGUAGCUAUAAUUCAUGGCUUCAAUUUUAAUACAUAUAGGCCUAUUACCCUAACUUCGAACAGCUAACAGUUGAGCUAAUGUCAAUCUUAAGGUUGCCAAGGAAACUGUAAUUCAGUUAGACUUGAAACAUUUUGAUACACAUCAAAAUUUUUUAUCAACUUCAACUAUGUUUUUUGAUGUUACUAU